rnacentral:rRNA from 1 species
CUUGUACACACCGCCCGUCACACCAUGGAAAUUGGUUGCACCAGAAGUAGGUAGCCUAACCGCAAGGGGGGCGCUUACCACGGUGUGGCCAAUGACUGGGGUG